AACGAACGCUGGCGGCAUGCCUAACACAUGCAAGUCGAACGAGACCUUCGGGUCUAGUGGCGCACGGGUGCGUAACGCGUGGGAAUCUGCCCUUGGGUUCGGAAUAACAGUUAGAAAUGACUGCUAAUACCGGAUAAUGUCUUCGGACCAAAGAUUUAUCGCCCAGGGAUGAGCCCGCGUAGGAUUAGCUAGUUGGUGAGGUAAAGGCUCACCAAGGCGACGAUCCUUAGCUGGUCUGAGAGGAUGAUCAGCCACACUGGGACUGAGACACGGCCCAGACUCCUACGGGAGGCAGCAGUGGGGAAUAUUGGACAAUGGGGGCAACCCUGAUCCAGCCAUGCCGCGUGUGUGAAGAAGGCCUUCGGGUUGGUUAAAGGACACUUU
rnacentral:rRNA from 1 species